rnacentral:rRNA from 1 species
GCUUGUCUCAAAGAUUAAGCCAUGCAUGUCUAAGUGUAAAUACGUCUACACUGUGAAACUGCGAAUGGCUCAUUAAAUCAGUUAUCGUUUAUUUGAUGAUCUCUUGUUACAUGGAUAACCGUAGUAACUCUAGAGCUAAUACAUGCAUCAAUCCCCGACUUCCUGGAAGGGGUGUACUUAUUAGAUGGAAACCAAUGCGGGGCAACCCGGAUUCUGGUGAUUCAUAAUAAUUAUCGGAUCGAUCGUAUGAUCGAUGCAUCAUUCAAGUUUCUGCCCUAUCAGCUUUGGAUGGUAGGGUAUUGGCCUACCAUGGCAUUAACGGGUAACGGAGAAUUAGGGUUCGAUUCCGGAGAGGGAGCCUGAGAAAUGGCUACCACAUCCAAGGAAGGCAGCAGG